AUUGAACGCUGGCGGCAUGCCUAACACAUGCAAGUCGAACGGCAGCACGGGGCUUGCCACUGGGUUCAGAGGGGCAAGCGGGUGAGUAGUCCAUGAGUACGCCUCCUAGUGGGGGGGAACGUCCGGCGACGGCCGCUAUUAUCGCGUACGCGAUGCGCGAGAAAGAGGGGGGUCCUUGCACCCCUCGCUCUCUGGGGAUCGGAGGUCGGAUUAGCUAGUUGGUGGGGUAAAGGCCUACCAAGGCGACGAUCCGUAACUGGUCUGAGAGGAGGAUCAGUCACACUGGGACUGAGACACGGUCCAGACUCCUACGGGAGGCAGCAGUGGGGAAUAUUGGACAAUGGGCGAAAGCCUGAUCCAGCAAUGCCGCGUGUGUGAAGAAGGUCUUCGGGUUGUAAAGCACUUUUGGUUGGGAAGAAAGGCUUUAAGCUAAUACCGUGGUGGGUUGACGUUACCGGAAGAAUAAGCACCGGCUAACUACGUG
rnacentral:rRNA from 1 species